UUGGGCGUAAAGGGCUCGCAGGCGGUUUCUUAAGUCUGAUGUGAAAGCCCCCGGCUCAACCGGGGAGGGUCAUUGGAAACUGGGAAACUUGAGUGCAGAAGAGGAGAAUGGAAUUCCACGUGUAGCGGUGAAAUGCGUAGAGAUGUGGAGGAACACCAGUGGCGAAGGCGACUCUCUGGUCUGUAACUGACGCUGAGGAGCGAAAGCGUGGGGAGCGAACAGGAUUAGAUACCCUGGUAGUCCACGCCGUAAACGAUGAGUGCUAAGUGUUAGGGGGUUUCCGCCCCUUAGUGCUGCAGCUAACGCAUUAAGCACUCCGCCUGGGGAGUACGGUCGCAAGACUGAAACUCAAAGGAAUUGACGGGGGCCCGCACAAGCGGUGGAGCAUGUGGUUUAAUUCGAAGCAACGCGAAGAACCUUACCAGGUCUUGACAUCCUCUGACAACCCUAGAGAUAGGGCUUUCCCUUCGGGGACAGAGUGACAGGUGGUGCAUGGUUGUCGUCAGCUCGUGUCGUGAGAUGUUGGGUUAAGUCCCGCAACGAGCGCAACCCUUGAUCUUAGUUGCCAGCAUUUAGUUGGGCACUCUAAGGUGACUGCCGGUGACAAACCGGAGGAAGGUGGGGAUGACGUCAAAUCAUCAUGCCCCUUAUGACCUGGGCUACACACGUGCUACAAUGGACAGAACAAAGGGCUGCAAGACCGCAAGGUUUAGCCAAUCCCAUAAAUCUGUUCUCAGUUCGGAUCGCAGUCUGCAACUCGACUGCGUGAAGCUGGAAUCGCUAGUAAUCGCGGAUCAGCAUGCCGGGGGGAAAAACGUUCCCGGGGCCUUGUACACACCGCCCGUCACACCACGAGAGUUUGCAACACCCGAAGUCGGUGAGGUAACCUUUAUGGAGCCAGCCGCCGAAGGUGGGGCAGAUGAUUGGGGUGAGCU
rnacentral:rRNA from 1 species